rnacentral:misc_RNA from 1 species
UCCGAUUUGUCACCGGCAGUCUCCCUAGAGUCCCCGCCUCUACGCGCUGGCAACAUGGAACGAGGGUUGCGCUCGUUGCGGGACUUAACCCAACAUCUCACGACGCGAGCUGACGACAACCAUGCACCACCUGUGAACCGGCCCCAAAGGGGAAGGACUGUUUCCAGCCCGGUCCGGCCCAUGUCAAGCCUUGGUAAGGUUCUUCGCGUUGCAUCGAAUUAAUCCGCAUGCUCCGCCGCUUGUGCGGGCCCCCGUCAAUUCCUUUGAGUUUAAUCUUGCGACCGUACUCCCCAGGCGGCACAUUUAACGCGUUAGCUUCGCCACAAAAGGGGUCGAUUCCUUUUACAGCAAAUGUGCACCGUUUACGGCUAGGACUAC